GACGAACGCUGGCGGCGUGCUUAACACAUGCAAGUCGAACGGAAAGGCCUUUUCGGAGGUACUCGAGUGGCGAACGGGUGAGUAACACGUGGGUGAUCUGCCCUGCACUCUGGGAUAAGCCUGGGAAACUGGGUCUAAUACCGGAUAGGACCGCACUUUAGUGUGUGUGGUGGAAAGUUUUUUCGGUGUAGGAUGAGCCCGCGGCCUAUCAGCUUGUUGGUGGGGUAAUGGCCUACCAAGGCGGCGACGGGUAGCCGGACUGAGAGGUUGGUCGGCCACAUUGGGACUGAGAUACGGCCCAGACUCCUACGGGAGGCAGCAGUGGGGAAUAUUGCACAAUGGGCGCAUGCCUGAUGCAGCGACGCCGCGUGGGGGAUGACGGCCUUCGGGUUGUAAACUCCUUUCGCCAGGGACGAAGCGUUUUGUGACGGUACCUGGAGAAGAAGCACCGGCUAACUACGUG
rnacentral:rRNA from 1 species